UGAGUAUAUGGUAUAAAAAAAAAAAAGGGAGAGCUAAAUCGCUGGGGAUGAAGGGCAUUUGAAAGAAGCCUUAGAAGGGGUGAGUUAGAGGGACUCUUGGUAACACAACUAGGAGAUAUCUGAGCAACAUGUCUGCAGGCUGGGGCUUGUUGAAAAAGAAGAUAAUGAAAAACGUUUCGAGGACAGAAGGACUAAAGGCUUUUUAACAAUGUGGAUGUCUACCGCUGUGUUCCAUUUUUAAGUUAUGUCAUGCUGUGCAGAGAAAUUGCCUCUUGUAUCCUACCUGAACAUUUGGGAGAGGUGUGCUACAAACAUGUCAUUAAAUUGAUGGCACUGUAAAGAGUGGGGGACAUGAUAUUAACAAAGCCCCAGAAGACCCCAGCAUUUCUGAGAGCCACGUGUUUCAUAACCUAAGGCUGGAACAGUCAUGAGAGGAUGAGAGGAAAGACACACAAUCUCCCCAAGUAUACUAGAAGGAGAGUGCCUGCCCAGGGAGGAGGAUGAUGGGGAGUGGGAGGGAGGCUGACAUCUGGGUGGAAUCUGGAUGACUUUGGCCCAUCAAACAACAUCUCUGGGCCUCACAGCUUUCAUGUUAAAAUAGAGGGCUAUCACUAAUGAUUUCUAAGGUCCCUUUGAGUUCUGAAGCUCUGUAAACUUACCACUCUCCUGCUCUAUCUAAUGGCAAGCAAGGACGUUUCCAAAGCUUAGUCGGGAUUAAAGCCUGGAGAUCAAGUUCAGAGAAUGCAGGCAGAAACAGGCAGGAUCCAGAGGGCAAAACCAUAGUACAGAGUUUGGAAUCUCAAACUUCCAAAAAGCAGGAGUGAGGCAGGGAUCAGUCUAGGAAACCAGCAAAUGAAGGGAUCACCUCGAGGAAAAGAGUUAAUGCAAUAAUUGGUCAGGAACCCAAGCCAGGGUCUUGAUGACAGCAAUGGGCACUAGAGGUGAAAUGAAUAUUAAUGUAAGCAUCUCUAAAAUAUGUCCCCAGCCAUUUAAUCAUUUCCCAGGGAAAGGCUCUCCAUUAGCUACAGCAGAAAAUCACCUAGCAAAAGAGGAAAAACACUGCAGGGAAAAUAAAUGGCGUAAGUCAUUCUCUUUCAUCUCCAGGUAGGCGCCACUGAAGGCAUAAAACAGCAAUACUUUCAAAUACUCAUAUAUUCAUUCCAUACCUAUAAAAAUAUCCCUCUGUCUCAAAGGGAAGGUGUGGGCUCUCCUAGCACCUUGAGUUAAGGGGAGGCUGAAACAGAUGUACAGCAAGUUAAUGGGUUGGUUUUGCACCUGCAUUGUCCUCUCUUCCUGCAGUUGGAUUCCAGGGGAUGUUUAGCAUAAUAUACAUCAAUGGCUCUCUCUCUGUCCUCCAGUAGAUCAGCAGGAAGGGGAUAUUUACAACUGAAUAGCAGUCAGUACCGGGUCCUAUGGAGCAGAACUGCUGCAGUCAGUUCAUUAUUUACAGUUCCAACAACAGAGCUCAUUGUUCCCAUUGUGGAUUCUCAGCUGUCCUGGCGAGUAAGCAGUCCCAGAAAGGCUUCAGCGAGGACCCCCAAAUGCUAAUGACUCUCUGAGUAACCAGAUUGACCUUACAUAUAGACAGGGCAAGCAACUCCUAAUGUGGUGUGAUUUCAGGGCCCUCUGAAGACCCUGGGAUCAAAAAUAUCUGCUACUGCCUGCUGCUUGAUCCGCUGCCUGAAAAUCAUCUUCUGUGGAAUUGUCUCCCUUUGAGUCAAAAUACUGUUCCCUGUUCAAAAACAAAUGCAUUUCAAGCCAGUAUAACCUAUUAACAUCUUAGUGAAAAUUCACCAAAACUGUCUUAUUUUAAACCACAAAUUUUCUGAAUUGGGCAGGUGCAUAGUGAUUCUGCAGAAUAGGCAUUAGGGAGCAAGGGAUGGUCCACAGACCAAAUCUAGCCCAUCACCUGCUAUUAGAAAGAAAGAAAGUCUGAUUGGAACACAGCUAUACUCUUUUGUUUACAUAUUGCCUGUGCCAGGGUUGAAUAGCUGCGACACAGGUUGUACGGCCCACAAAGACUAAAAUAUUUACACUCUGGCCCUUUGUAGAAAAAGCUUGCCAACGCUUGAUAUACUAGAACCCUCUCAUCAGGAAACUGAGGCCCAGAGAGGGCAAGAGACAUGACCAAAACCAUGGGAGUUACUCCUGGCAGAGCUGAAUCUCAGCCAUAUCUCUGGACUCCACCUUAUUGCUCCUUCCAUGAUGCCAUGUUGUCUCUUAGAGUUGUCUGUAAAAUAAAAAGAAACAGGCCUCAGAAUGAAGGCAGGCCUGAGGGGCUCUCCUGCGAACAAAGCACAGAAACAUACGGCCCAUGGAUUUUGUGAGUCAGUUUGCUUACUCACUGGGGUUUUGAGCUAUUUUGCAGUUGGGCACUGUUGGUAGAUCGUGAGUUUCCACUGCAGUGUUAUCAAGGAUCCGGAGGUUGGAGAGUCACCUCUAUACAUCAAAUUGAAAAGCUGUACAUUGGGGAAUCUUUCCUUUAACAUUUGACCGUGGUCCCCUGAUCAGGGCUCAUAGAAUCAGAGAAAAUCUUCUGGUACAGUGUUGUGUUAUGAGUGUGUAUUCUAAACGACUCAACUUGUUUCAGAAAAAUAAAAACUCGUGCAGAGAUUUUACCUACUGAGAUUAUUUCAAUAGGUAAAAUGUAUAAAAUUAGAGACAUUUUAGCAGGUUUUCCUCAUGUGGAUGUCCUUAAGGACCUAAACAGAAACAUAGAACCCUACGUAUCACUUUGAGAAAAUUCUAACUUAUUCUAAUUGUUACCUGAGUCUACAUUGUCCCAAAUAUAUCCAUACCCAUUUGACUCCGGGGAGAAUGAACUCAUUCAUUCACCACACCACACAUGUCCACCCUAUUGUUAUGCUGAUCUUACUACUAGAAAAUUCCCUUACUUUGAACCCAAAUAUCCCUCCCAAUAACUUCUUUUAUAUUCUUCUCUUCCUCAAUCUUCUGUGUUUUACUAUUCACAGUGUGGUCCUUGGACAAGCAGCAAGGGCAUCAGCUUAGAAGAUGCUCAAAAUUCAGAAUCUUGAGCUCCAUCACAGAUUUAAAGAAUAAGAAUUUGCAUUUUGACGGAAUCCUCAAGGGAUUUAUUUGUAUAAUAAAGUUGAAGCACAAUAGACUGUCAAAAAUUUCUAGAAAAAGCUUCUAAAAAUACUACUUUCAAUUAAGUAUGAAUGACUAGUAUUUGGAUGAUAUUUCUCUAAUUUAGGAAUUGAAUUACAGGUAGAAGCGUAGGUCAUUUUUGGAUAAAUUAUUCAGUUCUUUGACCUAAUUUUGAUUUCAAAUACUUGAUUUUUCCACAUGAAAUAAUAAUAACAGCCUAUAUCUGUAUAUAAUCCUUUCCAGUUUAUAGCUCUCACAUGAAACCACAAUUCCUAACUCUGCCCUAUGCAACUGACGCUGAAUUUUUUUUCUGAAUAGCUUUCAAAUAGGAAAAAAAGUAGGAUCAAUGGAUGAAAAUUCCAGCGAUGCAGAUUUUGCUUCAUUUAGGAAAACUUCAAUUAUCAGAAUGCCUCAAAUAGAAUGGACUGCUUUACGUUGUGGGAGCCUCCUGGGAGGAAUCAAGCAUCAGCUAAGUGAUUGUACAUCUUGGAAAAGAUGGUGAAAGGAGAUUCCAGCAGACUUGGGCAGUCAACCUGCUGCACUGUUAAGAUUCCUCCCUAGUUCAAACAUGCUAUGAUUCAAUGUCUAUUUUUAUGAUGAAUUAUUAAUAUAUACUACUGGUUUGUACACAUCAAAAGAAAUAUAGCAUCCCAGAUCUCAGUCUCUAUAAACUAAAAAGCAUAGAGAAAUCUUUUUAAAAAGAGAGAGAGAGGCAAAAAGAGAAAACGCAAACUCGCCGUUCUUAUUAUUCCCAUCCCAUUCCUGGGAUUUACCUCCACACAUAUCCCCAUUCACCUAUUUCACUUCCCAAGUACUAGGCAAAUUACAAUUAUAAAUGCAAUUCAAAAAUAAUAAAAAUUUUUAUAAGAUGCUAACACAUGGAAACUAUUCAACAGAAAGAUUUUCAUCCUAAACUGCCUUAAAUAUCAGACCACUACUACCCCAGUAUAGUUCAAACACAAUAAAAGAAUAAAAUGAACGUAUACCUCCAGGGGACAUUGACAUUUUUGCAAGAGAAAGAAUGACACUUUAGCCCCUUCUUCGCUUACUAGCUUCCUCUUGUUGCAUUUUGAUUUCAAUGGGAAUGUUUCAAUCUCCUAAAUGUCUGAGCUGUCCCACUAAGUAGGCCAGGUAUGAGGAGAACUGUUUCUGAAAGGAGUAUGUAAAGAUGGGUGGUCCAAGGUGGUGUUAAAUGCCAAGAGAUGUCUUGAAGACACUGUGACAAAGGGGGAAAACCAAAAUUUUCAGUAAUCUGUUAGUUCGACUAUCCGACAUCACCACUUUUGCAGGUCAAAAAAGGUUGAAAGUUGGCAAGUUCACAUGGUUCAAAUCUGAUAAACGGAAAAAGGGUUAGAGAUUGACUUUGAGGAUGCAUUUGGAUAGAAUCUACACAAAAUUUAUUUAGAUUGUAUGUUUAUUUGAAGUGGCUUUGAGGAGGCUGAUACAGUUUAUGGGAUACCCCAAAUAUUCCCAGACUUCCUGUUGUCACUACCGGGGUAAUAAGUAAAAUGCAGUCAAAAGCAGACACCAUAAAGUAAUACAAUUGGAGUUGCAAAGGUGACACUGGAAAAAUUUGGUUGAAUUCUUAGUAACAAAGAAAGAAAUAAGACGCAAGUUCUAAGCAGGUAAAGUGUGGUGUCAGGAGCUAAGGAUUUAACAAAUUUUUUCAGACUUUCUGCUAGGAUGACACAUUUAUCAGCAUCCUAGUGUCCUCCACAUGCUAUAAGAGUUCCAUGGUAGACUAAAUGCAUUAACAGGCACAAUGAAGGGCCCCCUUGUAUUUACACCUUUUGUCUUAAAACUUGGUAGUCCCUACCUGCUCUGAGUCUACACCAGCUAAAAUCAUAAUGUGGCCCUACACUCUUCUAGUCUCUCUCUUGUUCAACUUGGAAUCCUGCUAUUGCUAGGAUAACAAGGUGAAAUAGGCUGCUGGAGGAUGAACGUCCAUAUGGAGCAGAGCCUCAUGUCCUAACCAAACUGCCAGCUGAUCACAGAUGCAUGAACAAGCCUAUCUGAGAAAAAUCAAGCCUGGUCACGAUUUGCAAAAAUGUCUCACAUUUCUGAAAUUAAUCCCACAGUCGCAGCUGAUAUUUUUUACUGCUUUAUUCCACUAUUUGUUCUUUAUUCCUAUGGCCUUAAGCAAGCACCUUAGUUGACAGUGGUUCCUUGCCUAGAGAAGUGACCCAAAUCUUUGCUCCUAAAGAGUCUACACCAUUAGCAAUCUUGACUGCAUUGGGUUGCUUGGUUUCCCAUUGGCUUUAAUCAUAGGGCAUGAGACUACUAAGAGGCAUCCCAGAGGAACCGUUCGCAUUCCAGAGUCUUGCUUACCCCCACUGUGAAGUAGCAACCUAAUUCCCCUUUGAUAAUCAGAAUCAAUUAUUGCAGCCAGUACACGUAACCCUGUUCUUUGCCUAUUUAUUACUGAUAUUAAAGCCCAAAGUGUCCAGAAAAGAGACUCAACUUCCAUUUUAAUUAUUUGAUUGAGCUAUUGUUGUGUCUUCUGGUAAAACCGUCUUUACUUGAGAACUACCUUCUAGACCAGCAGAGCCCAAAGUUGCAGGGAGGGGAAGCAAAAAUUUUUCUAACCUAGCACUUGUGGUCAUAGAAGAUUCACUUCUGUGGACAUUUCUUAUAACAAACUCUAUGGAUCUUGUCUAUAAUAGAAAAAGCACUAUAUAUUGGUCACCGAUUUAGAGCAUGUAACAUCCUGCAUGACAUUUCCUAGUCCUGCUAGGUGUUGUCACCCAGCUAGCACUGUUUCUGAGACUUCAAAAGCCAUUCCACCAAUCUAUAAGACAAGCUGCUUCAGGGUUCUGGGGAACAUGGUAAGAUCAGUGAAUUCCAUGAGCAUGGGCACACUACCAUACUUCACUGGCUUUAAAUGAAUGACUUGAUUAGAAUCAAGGGUGUAUGAAAUACCAUGACAGUGAACAAAAUAUUCCAUAAGUCCUGGGAUGUUGAUUUUAGCAGAAGCAUUAUGAGCAGAGACAGGAAAUCCAUAUUCCAAUGAAAGCAAACUGCUGCCCCUUCCAUGAUGGAAAUGGUCCUCUAUAACCAAGUUUCUACCAGGCGUCUGGUUUAUCCACUUAGAGAAUGUUACCCUAACUAGGACUCAGUGUUGAUAUUUGUUAUUGGAAGAUCAGAUACUUAGCAGUGAAUGUAGCCAAUUGGCCUUGGUAAGUAGAAAAAACUUGUUGAGCCAAAGAACGACCAUCUCUAAUAUCCUAGCCACUUUUUCCAUGAGCCCAUGGGAAGAAGAAUGGGGUGACUAACGUCCACAGGACCUGUCAUUUUAUCCACUUGAUUAUGAAGAUCCUCCUUGCUCUUUGGUGAGCGCUUGUCUUGGAAACAAAUUUAUAUAUGUUUUCUGCCCAUUUACUGAGGUCUACUCAAAUACCUCUUCCCCAGACUUUCUUGUCACCAGCGUUCAUCUAGAAUUACUUCUGGUUCCAAAUUCCGUACCUGUAAAGAUUCAGCCAGACAAACAAAAAUUCUAGUAGAUGAAAGGUAGAAUGGAAGGAAAGAACAAAGGGAAUUUUAGGGAUUUGCCCUUGAGCAAUUGUGAAAGCUGGUUACAUACUCUGCAUGAAGACUCGUUUCCAUGUCUGGUUCUGAUGUCCAGAGAGCAGGCACCUGGGAAAAGAAGAUGGACACAAAGCAGGGGAAACAAAGAGAAACUUGAAUUUGCAAGAGUAAGCAGAGGGACGGACUGGAAUUUGCAUCAGCUGCUUGUCCCUCCAAGUUUCCAACUUAGAUGGUAGAGGUGAACCUGCAGGAAGAGCUGAACACUCAUGUGGCCCGGAGUCAGGACAGCUGGAGGAGGAGAUCCAGUGUGAGCUGGAGGAGCUGUGGCCCAGUUGCUGCUGGUGCCAACAAGGUGAUCCAGGACAUAAGCAGCAACGCAGGUGCGCUGGUGCAGCAACGCAGGUGCGCUGGUACAGCACCACACGCUCCGCACCAACUUUCUGAGCACACGAAGGAAGAGGCUUCACUUCCACCUUCCACCUCUUGAGCAAAAUGUCUCCUACAGCCCAAAUAGACCUAGAACUAUGUGACAAAGGCUGAUCUGGGAAAUGUGGUCCAAGCUUACCUAAGCUGACACACAAUCAACUCACCACCACAGACUCUAAGUUUUUUGUUUGUUUUGUUUUCUCAAGGCAAUUGCUAACUGAUGCAGGCUCUCAAAGGCUUGGUCUCUGCUUGGGCCUCAAAGAAUAAUACAUAAGGAGAUCCCAGAAGUAGUAUUAAUUAGUUCUCUCUGGAACUUAGAAACAAAGAGCUGAGGUUAUUGAAUAAAAUUAGUUCAUAAAGAUGAUUUUAAAAUUUAAAAAUUAUAAGGAAUCGCUAGGAGUACAAAUUAAAAAAUUAGGUAAAAGUAAACCAAGAUUCAUGCAAUAGCUUCCUUUCAAGAAUUUUUAAAUUUUUAUAUAUGUUUCCUCCAAAAUUUGUUCUCUCCUAUUGCCUCUGUGAAAAUGAUUACUUUCUGCAUCUGUUGGAAACCAUGAAUAACACCAAAUCCAAAUAAAUG
ensembl:lncRNA